AAUCAACGCUGGCGGCGCGCCUAACACAUGCAAGUCGAACGAGAAAGCCGCAAGGCAAGUAAAGUGGCGUACGGGUGAGUAACACGUGGAUAAUCUACCUUUUAGUGGGGAAUACCGUUGGGAAACCGACGACAAUACCGCAUAAUCCCGAGAGGGGAAAGCCGUAAGGCGCUGAAAGAGGAGUCCGCGGUCGAUUUGGUAGUUGGCAGGGUAAAAGCCUACCAAGCCUGUGAUCGAUAGCCGGCCNGAGAGGGCACACGGCCACACUGGCACUGAAACACGGGCCAGACCCCUACGGGAGGCAGCAGUGGGGAAUCUUGCACAAUGGGGGAAACCCUGAUGCAGCGACGCCGCGUGAGCGAUGAACGCCCUU
rnacentral:rRNA from 1 species